GGGCAUUGUCUGAAGGGGUCAGAGGGAGACUCAGUUUUCAGAGGAGAAGCCAGAAGAAGAAUCCUGGACACCCAAGAUGACUCUGACCUAAGCCCAAAGAACAUUCAAGAUUGGAAACAAUGCUCUGUCAUGACCAAGCAGACAAGGAAUGAUGCUGCUACACAGAAAUUAUUACCAUUGCUAAAGAGGAGCAGAAUCUGUCUUGAUAUAAAAGCUUCCCGAUUCCUAAGGAAAUAAGCUGCAUAUAUCACUAAGUACAUAUUAUAGAAAGAUGGAGAGCUGGGCAGGCAACUUGCCAAUGACAGUGGGUAGAAAAGAAACAUCCUUGCCAAUAACGAGACAGAUGUUUAGAAGAAGAAAAAAUCACUGCAAGUUGCAUCCCUAGUAGAGCCACUGAGAAGCAGCAAUCCAGUUCUUAGAAAUAUAGCACUCACUAGGAAAUGAUGCUCACCACCAAUU